UCUGAUAGUCAAAGUUAGGGGAGCUUUGUUCUUACACGGCACAUCCAAAGUCCAAAAGCUGGUAAUUGUUUCACGUUUGCUUCUUUGCCAAACUCACGAAUGGUUUUGACAUGAUUGUUACCUUUAUAGAUCAUGAACAGUUUCGUUUCUGUAAGUCUCUUUUCGUGUCUUAUAACAGCCCAAGCUCACCGCUAGCAGAUAUUGUCUGCUUUGGUCCAUUACGUAUCGUUGUCAGCCUCACAUGGUUUUAAAACGCGUCUAUAAGGAAUAUUUUGUUCUCUAUCCAACUGAUGUGAGAUUUUGAGCUCGGAAGUUCAAUACUUUCAUGAGAUAUUUGAAAAAGGGUAUUGUGGCUCUGGUUGCUCCCCCACCAUCAAACAUUCUUCAACUGUACCAAAACCCCAAAUAAAAUUAAGAAAUAUAUAUAUGUUUUAAAAUUUUGUUUUAGUUUUGUAAUUAGGGAUUAAAAAAACGAGUAUAUAUUAUACGAAUUUGUUUGUUUA